rnacentral:misc_RNA from 1 species
UAAAGACCUAACUGCGAGGCUUUUUUGUUUGAAAAAAUCAACUAAAUAUAUCAAGCCGUUUCUAUUUUUAGGCCAUAGGGAUGUGAUUGUAGGUGCUUUCUUUGGAACUGAUAAGAAAACUAAUAAGGUUUGUAGAGUUUAUACCAUAUCCCGAGAUGGUGCCAUUUUUAGCUGGGGAUAUAGUGAAAUGGAUGGAAAUUUUGAUGAACCAUCACUUGCUUCAGAGCCAGAAUCACCAGGUACACCAGAGCAAGGGCAAGGGAACAAUAGAGAAGGUGAUAGUGAUAGCAGGGUCAAAAAAAGAAAGAAUUUUGAUGGG